CUGAUCAAUUUUUUUUUCUUUAGGUUCUUCAGUUUCAAGAACUUUUAUAUCCUUUAAUACAAAAGGACUUUUUUGGGUAUUGGGGUUCUGUUGUAUUGGGUUGAUAGGAUUUUAAAAUGAUAUGUUUUGGUUAAGGAUGGAAAUGGUGGCUGUUUCUUGAAAAAUCAUUUUCAGUUUGAUUUGUUGCAGGAAUCUUUACCAGUAAAGUUCUCUUAUUUGAAAAAUGGGUAGAGGAAGAGGAAAGGCAAAGAAGCAAUCUAUUCGUGAGGAUCUUGUGACUGGUGAAGAAGAGAAGAUGCCAGCACGGAGAAGGGGAAGACCACAGAAACCAAAGGAUGAAAUAGAGGAGGAAGAAGGAAUUGAGAAGGUACUGGAUGAUGAAGAUGACAGCGAGAAUACAAAAGGUUCCGUCUUGAAUAAAGAUAUCAAGAACCAAGUAGCUGAAGAUGGAAAGAAGAGGAAGAGACCUUCCCAAGUCAUGGAAAAUAAGGAUUCUGUGAAAGAGGAAAAUGGAGUUGGAACUAAAACUAUCUCAAAUGACUUAAUAAAGUCAGUUGGAUUCAGACCGAAUGGUAGCAGAAGGAAAAACAAGCCUAGACGGGCUGCCGAAGUUGGUGUUGAGUGCAGAUGAAGGGUCCUCGUUGUGAUUGAGAACUGACUUUAUGAUUACUUACAUGUGCUUAUCUAUUUUAGUCCUGUUAUAAUUACUUCUUUUUGGAAAUUUCAACUUGAAUUUUGUGAUGAUUUCUGCAGCAAGUUUUAGUUCUACUGAAUGUAUUGCUGCUGAAUCCCUUUGACAAUUCUCUCAUUUUGCAUGUCUCAUCAAUAUCCAGA
rnacentral:misc_RNA from 1 species